rnacentral:rRNA from 1 species
GAUGAACGCUGGCGGCGUGCCUAAUACAUGCAAGUCGAACGCACAGCGAAAGGUGCUUGCACCUUUCAAGUGAGUGGCGAACGGGUGAGUAACACGUGGAUAACCUACCUCAAGGUUGGGGAUAACAUUUGGAAACAGAUGCUAAUACCGAAUAAAACUUAGUAUCGCAUGAUACCAGGUUAAAAGGCGCUACGGCGUCACCUAGAGAUGGAUCCGCGGUGCAUUAGUAGUUGGUGGGGUAAAGGCUUACCAAGACAAUGAUGCAUAGCCGAGUUGAGAGACUGAUCGGCCACAUUGGACUGAGACACGGCCAAACUCCUACGGGAGGCUGCAGUAGGGAAUCUUCCACAAUGGGCGAAAGCCUGAUGGAGCAACGCCGCGUGUGUG